rnacentral:rRNA from 1 species
AUUGAACGCUGGCGGCAGGCUUAACACAUGCGAGUCGAGCGGGGAAGGGUAGCUUGCUAACUAACCUAGCGGCGGACGGGUGAGUAAGGCUUAGGAAUCAGCCUAUUAGUGGGGGACAACAUUCCGAAAGGAAUGCUAAUACCGCAUACGCCCUACGGGCAAAGCAGGGGAUCUUCGGACCUUGCGCUAAUAGAUGAGCCUAAGUCAGAUUAGCUAGUUGGUGGGGUAAAGGCCUACCAAGGCGACGAUCUGUAGCGGGUCGGAGAGAUGAUCCGCCACGCUGGGACUGAGACACGGCCCAGACUCCUACGGGAGGCAGCAGUGGGGAAUAUUGGACAAUGGGCGCAAGCCUGAUCCAGCCAUGCCGCGUGUGUGAAGAAGGCCUUUUGGUUGUAAAGCACUUUAAGCGAGGAGGAGGCUACUUGGAUUAAUACUCUAGGAUAGUGGACGUUACUCGCAGAAUAAGCACCGGCUAACUCUGUGCCAGCCGCCGCAGUAAUAC